rnacentral:sRNA from 1 species
UCGUAGCCGAUGUUCCACAGCAGGGG